CGCAUCUGUGCAUGCAGCAUAUCAAUAAGCGGAGGAAAAGAAACUAACAAGGAUUCCCUUAGUAACGGCGAGUGAAGCGGGAAGAGCUCAAAUUUGAAAUCUUCAAGGUUUUACCUUGACGAAUUGUAGUUUAAAGAAGUGUUUUCUGUUGAAGUUUUGGUAAAAGUUCUUUGGAAUAGGACAUCAUAGAGGGUGAGAAUCCCGUAUUUGACCAUUAUUUUCAGCUGUGUGAUACACUUUCAAAGAGUCGGAUUGUUUGGGAAUGCAGUCCAAAAUGGGUGGUAAAUUUCAUCUAAAGCUAAAUAUUGGCGAGAGACCGAUAGCGAACAAGUACCGUGAGGGAAAGAUGAAAAGAACUUUGAAAAGAGAGUUAAACAGUACGUGAAAUUGUCAAAAGGGAAGCGUUUGACACCAGUGUUGUUUUCUCGAAAAUCAAUUAAAAAGAGUUAGAUUUUGUUGUGUAUUGACCUUAACAGCUUGCAUUUCAAUUUUCUUGCUUUUUUUAAUGCACUUUUCGUUUAACAAGUCAACAUCAGUUUCUUUUGUUGUAAAAAGGUCAUUGGAAGGUGGCUUUCUUUUCGGAGAAAGGUGUUUAUAGCCUUUGACUCCUGCAAUCGGAGAGACUGAGGUCUGCAGCGUAGAUCCUUCGGGGUUAGAUACAUUUGUGCUAAGUUAUAGCUUUUUAUAGACAACUUGUUGACUAUGAUUAGUCUUGUAGCUUACUCGCUUAUGCUAUUUUACCUACGCUUAGGAUGUUGAUGUGAUACUGCGAGCA
rnacentral:rRNA from 1 species